rnacentral:rRNA from 1 species
UCGAGAAUUUUUCUCAAUGGGCGCAAGCCUGAAGGAGCGACGCCGCGUGGGGGAUGAAUGGCUUCGGCCCGUAAACCCCUGUCAUUUGUGAACAAACCUUUCAGGUUAACAGCCUGAAAGCUGAUAGUAGCAGAAGAGGAAGGGACGGCUAACUCUGUGCCAGCAGCCGCGGUAAUACAGAGGUCCCAAGCGUUGUUCGGAUUCACUGGGCGUAAAGGGUGCGUAGGUGGCCGGGAAAGUUCGGUGUGAA